GCACUACUGAGGAGUCCCAUACUAGGACGAAACGGCCGUCCAGUGA
rfam:Schistosoma mansoni strain Puerto Rico chromosome 1, complete genome